UGCAAGAAAGGAAAAAGUUUUGAUUGU
rnacentral:sRNA from 1 species